rnacentral:rRNA from 1 species
CCUACGGGUGGCUGCAGUGAGGAAUAUUGGGCAAUGGACGAGAGUCUGAACCAGCCAAGUAGCGUGAAGGAUGACUGCCCUAUGGGUUGUAAACUUCUUUUAUAAAGGAAUAAAACGAGGCACGUGUGCCUUUUUGCAUGUACUUUAUGAAUAAGGAUCGGCUAACUCCGUGCCAGCAGCCGCGGUAAUACGGAGGAUCCGAGCGUUAUCCGGAUUUAUUGGGUUUAAAGGGAGAGUAGAUGGGUUGUUAAGGCAGUUGUGAAAGUUUGCAGCUCAACCGUAAAAUUGCAAUUGAAACUGGCAGUCUUGAGUACAGUUGAGGUAGGCGGAAUUCGUGGUGGAGCGGUGAAAUGCUUAGAUAUCGCGCAGAACCCCGAUUGCGAAGGCAGCGUACCGGCUCCACACUGACGCUGAGGCACGAAAGCGUGGGUAUCGAACAGGAUUAGAUACCCCAGUAGUC